AUGGAAUUUGGUGGCCUACUUUAACACAAUAUAUCGUUUUCUGGGAAAAAAAACUGCUGCAAGCAAGGCAACUCAGCUCCAGGACGAGCAAACAGAGAUGUGUCAACAGGAGACAGUAGAAGGGAAAUACUGACUGCAGACCUUUCGAGGCGGCUCGGGUCACUCGACAGAUUGUGUGUUCCUGGUUUACUGUUGGUCAAAGCCUCCCAGAUGGUCACCUGUGAGAAUGGAGAUGAAUCAGGUGUGUGAGACGGUUUUAAACCAUCAGGUGUCCGGACUGGAUGAGACACGAUAAAUCCUAACUCUAAUCCUAACAUAAUAUGUGACCCUGGAUGACAAAACCAGUCCUCUAAGUAGCGCGUGGACAUUUUUAGUAAAAGCCAAAAAUACAUUGUAUGGGUCAAAAUUAUCGAUUUUUCUUUUAUUCUAAAAAUCAACAGGAUAUUAAGUAAAGAUCAUGUUCCAUGAAGAUAUUUAGUAAAUUUCCAACCUUAAAUAUAUAAAAACUUUAUUUUUGUGAGUGGAUGGCUUGCAACAGCGCCAAUGAUUAAUAACUUAAAAGGCAAUUUUCUAAAUAUUUCGAUUUUUUCGCACUCUCAGAUUUCUGAGUUUUAAACGGUUGUAUCUCUGUCAGAUAUUGUCAUAUCCUAACAACUCAUACAUCAAUAGAAAGCUUUAUUCUUUCAGAUUAUGUAAAAAAACUCAAUUUCGAAAAAUUGACCCAUAAAACUGGUUUAGUUGUUCAGGGUCACAUAUGAGAUAAAGAAGCUACAUUUAUGACACCUUUGUUUUCUAUUGUGAGUUGUGAUGCAAAUGACAGAUUGAGUUUUCAGUCCUUUUCCAUUCAAGCAGACAGGAGCUCUACUUAUUUGACUAUUACACAGAACAUAGCCUCCAGGGGACGUUGCCAAGAUGACCGCAGAGUUAACUCUAUUUAUGUCAAAUCACACUGUAAAUCCCCAAUCACGGUGAACUCUUACUGGUAAAAAAAACGUUCAAAUAUGUAUAUUAUAGUACAAUACAUAACUUUAGCCUCUCUAUCGCCCCCUCUGAACAACAGUCUCACGGCAACUUGUGACAUACGUGAAAAAAAUCAGAAUCUAUUGAUUUUUCCACUUUUUUCAUGACCGUCAGCACAACCUUUUUUGUGUCGCCCAACAUGACUUUCAAUAUAUCGUUUGUAUAUAUAGGGAUCUAUAUUUUGCUAAAAUGCACACAUUUUACGAGGUGGCAAAGCAAUGAUAAAGACCCACCCGGCCUGCACCUAACCCCAAUGUUACAUGCCUCAAGUCAAAUCAUACUACAAAAUAUAAAAACUAAUAUUAUACGGUCACCUUGUAAAUAAGUACGAAUUCAUGUCAGAUUGUGUUGAAAAUAUGAAAGAUAUGAAAGAUACUUCCUAUUGAAAUACAUUAGAUUGAAUGUCGUUCUGAGUGAAACGAGAAAAUGGGAAAUUUGUUCAGAAUUUUAGUAUGCUCUAAAAUAGCUUUAAUGGUACUCUACAUCCUCCCUUUAUUAAGUAUAUGGUGAUUAAUGAAUAUGCAAAUUGCUCUCCGUCUCCACUCAAACACACCAGCUCGGACCACCUUAUCCCCUCCACUGUGUGACGUAAAAAAUGGGUGGCGUUUUUGAGACUGACAAACUGCAAUAUUUAUCAAUGAUUUUCAUCUAAAACAAAAAAAUUCACCACACAAGGUCUUAAACUGACAUCUGUCAACUCAAGUGUUUCCCGCAAUAAAAUGUACCCAACAGCUCAACCUAUAAAUCAUUAUUAUAGAUAACUGUUGUUAAUCUGAGGUAGGUAGAUUUUUUUAUUUACGUCCUCAGUAACUUAUUUUUGUUUAUUUUUUACAAAAAACUUACAAUUUUUUGCUUUAAACCUCAACUUUUUUCUGACUGCCUGUGAUCUUGUCACUUAGCUUAGCAUUUUCCCCUCAUGAAGGACGGAAAUGUUACUUGAUACAUUGCACCUGACGUGUGAUCGGACACAGUGUUCAUGUAACAUAUAUUUCUGGAGUAUGUUGACAUGCCCAUCUGUUAACGUGCGGAAGCUUGUGUGCACA